UACGGAGGGUGCAAGCGUUAUCCGGAUUCACUGGGUUUAAAGGGAGCGUAGGAGGGCAGGUAAGUCAGUGGUGAAAUCUUCGAGCUUAACUCGGAAACUGCCUUGAUACUAUCUGUCUUGAAUACCGUGGAGAUGAGCGGAAUAUGUCAUGUAGCGGUGAAAUGCUUAGAUAUGACAUAGAACACCAAUUGCGAAAGGCAGCUC
rnacentral:rRNA from 1 species